CAAUUACAAAAUUCCAACAAGAAUAAAUCAGCAAAUUCCCAUAUGCAAAAAACAAUUGUUGUUAUGCAAAUCAUUAAUUUCAAUUAUAGAAUUCAAAAGAAAAAAAAAACAAAAAUUACAUAAUUUGAGAAUCUACAAAGUUCCAAUAAGAUAUCCCAGAAAAAGUUUUUGUUCAAUCACGAAAUAAAAUAUAAAUCUUCAAUCGCAUCUCGUUUCUUGUUUCAAAUGAAUAUGCAGCGAUCGGAUAAAACAUUAAAUGGACCUUGACCCAAAGAUUUUGAUGCAAUAUUAUAGAGACCCCAGAAGUAAAUGAGAACUCAAAUUCCAUGGAAAAUGAUGUCAUUUUGUUGAGACUUGAACCAAGAAAUUUGAAGAGAUCCUUGUACAAGAGAAGACUAGAGGCUGGGGCAUAAAAGCUCGUAAGUUGCACAUGAGAGCCAUCAUCCGAGACCCUAGAGUAGCCAGGACAUGAAAUAAUCGAGAAUUCAAGCCACAAGAAUGACAUAGAUAUGGAGAUAGAGUUGUUAAAGUUCGCCAGUUUAUCAUUGAUUGCUUCAAAAUGAAAAGUGAGGUUAGCUAUAACCUCAAGAAUUCAAGCCCAGAGAGUUUCUUGUCGGGAAUUUUGAUAUGGUGGUGGGCAGUUUAUAGAGAGGGUAAAUGGUGGCGAUGGUGGCUGAAGAGAGAGAAAAUGAGCUAAGGGCAAUGAGGAGAAUGAUCUGGAUUGAUAGGAGGAGCCACCCCUUCUGGGUUGGGUGCAUAUGGUUUUUGGUUUGUGUUUAUUUGGUCAUUUCUAUACAUAUAGAGGUGAGGUUGAAAUGGGCUUUUAAUUCUUGAUCACCGUAGUGAAGCGUCAAGCGGCUGUAACUUGCAGUUGCAGAGAUUAUUCAGUCUCUGGCUUACUCCUUCACCUUACCCAAUUCACUUCCUACUUCACUGCUAACGGUCACUUUCCAUCCCUCACAAUCUAACAUUUCAAAAAUCAAAAACCACUCUCUGCGACAAGGGUACCUCAGAACCUUGUAACUUGCUCUGCCGAGAGAACUUCUCCGGCCAAGGCGCUGCGCCUGGUUCUUGACUCGCCUGGUAUCCACCAGGGCCCUGCCUGUUUCGAUGCUCUUAGUGCUAAGCUCGUGGAGAGACGGGAUUCAAUUACUGCUUCACUAGUGGAUUUCAAUAUCAGCUGCUAGAUUGGCAUUGCCUGAUACUGGCUUUAUUUCCUAUGGGGAAAUGGUGGAUCAGGGGCAACUAAUCACUCAAGCUGUAUCAAUCCCUGUCAUUGUGAUAAUGGCUAUGGAAAUGCAAUGAUUGUCAAAAGAACUGUCAUGGGAUAUAUAAAGCUGGCUUUGCAGGAAUCAUUCUUGAAAUCAGGUUACAUAUGCGUAAGCAUGCAUGCAUAUAUUCUUGAUCUCUUUGCUCAGUUUUUUCCUUGGUUUUCUUUUUGACUCUCUCUGUAUAAGUCCAUGGGCAAAGCUGGUGGAAUUUGCUUUGAUGUGGACAAUGUGCUUUUUUUUUUCAAUUGAAAUGAAAAAUUGAAAAGUGAUUGUCGUAUAUGUAUUUAUAUUAAUUAAUCAAUAUAAUGAACCAUAAGUAUGCAAAUAAUAAUAAGUGCAAUGAUACAUGUAUUUUGCUAUGUCUAUGUCCAUGAUGAAAAUUAAAUUUUAUCUAAGAUUCUUUCUUCCUUUUCCAUAAUUGAUAAAAAUUGAAAAACAAACUAGAGUACUUAAUGUCAUUGUAAUUAUUAUGAGAGGACAGAGUAUAUGGAUAAAUCUAUUUUUUUUCUUUUAUUUUGUCUGUGUGUGGCCGUGAAUAUGAAGACUUGAAUUACAGUCUUCAAGUCCUUUCUAAAUAAUAUUAUAGGAUAAACUAAAUUGUACCAGGCCAUUAGGCCUGCCUUUGUUUUUAUUAGAUGCGUGUUUCAUAUUUUGGGUUUAUAAUUGUACUCAAACAAUAUUAUUUUUUAUUAAAUUCCUUGAAUAGGGAUUUGUUUAGUUGUUGUUUAAGCUAGAAAUCAUUGUUGCUCAGAUUUCUGUUGCACGACAUUGUUAUUGUUACGCGAACUGAUUCUUAACAGGCAGUAUCAUUGGAUGAAUCACUUUGGAGGUCAUCAGCUUUUGCUGAUGCUGGAAGAGAUGUUCUUGUUAUAGAUCCACUAGCUUCAAGGGAUUCCAACAACCUGCUACUCUUCAACGUUAAGAGAAGAAAUAUUGCCAUUACUUGAUGCUAAUUCUUAUAAAUAUAGGCUAUUCAUCAGCAAGCAGCAAUGUAUGUCCUGUACAACGGAGGAUUCCAGGUGAUACAGAGCAGAGAUGUCCUCAAGAUCCUGUUGUUGAAGUGAUAACUCCUGAUGCAUAAAAUAACUGCGGUGCAGAUGCUUCAAGCGAUCCUUUUUCUGGGAUCUGGUCCUGGGCAUUGAGAAUCAAAAUAACUGGAAGAGAUGGAUUUGAGAAACUGGAUGUUAGGAUUCCUGCUGGGUUUACAUCACAAAUAUUGUUCUAGGUCAAAAUUAUUGACAUUGACUAUUUAUAUUAAUAAUUGAAAUGCGUGGAAAAAUAUUUUGAUCAUUUUUGAUACACAGCUUUAAGGGGUUUGAACAUCAAAGAGCUUUUGGAUGAUGCAGCAGGGGAAGUAGGAGGCAAGUUGUUAGAUUUUAAUGAUACCAUGGUGAUAGAAUUCAAGUAUUUUUAGAACAAUGUUUUCCCAAGACAAUGGAAAAACGUACCUUUAACUAAGAUAAAGCACCUUUCAAAUUAAAAGAGGGUUUUUUUUUUUUUUUCUUCCUUUUUUUCCUUUCCUUCUUUUUACUUAUUAUUCAGUUGG